rnacentral:rRNA from 1 species
CCUACGGGGUGCAGCAGUGAGGAAUAUUGGUCAAUGGCCGUAAGGCUGAACCAGCCAAGUCGCGUGAAGGAAGAAGGAUCUAUGGUUUGUAAACCUCUUUUGUCGGGGAGCAAAAGCCGGACGUGUCCGGCUGUGAGAGUACCCGAAGAAAAAGCAUCGGCUAACUCCGUGCCAGCAGCCGCGGUAAUACGGAGGAUGCGAGCGUUAUCCGGAUUUAUUGGGUUUAAAGGGUGCGCAGGCGGAAGAUCAAGUCAGCGGUAAAAUUGAGAGGCUCAACCUCUUCGAGCCGUUGAAACUGGUUUUCUUGAGUGAGCGAGAAGUAUGCGGAAUGCGUGGUGUAGCGGUGAAAUGCAUAGAUAUCACGCAGAACUCCGAUUGCGAAGGCAGCAUACCGGCGCUCAACGGACGCUCAUGCACGAAAGUGUUGGUAUCGAACAGGAUUAGAUACCCGGGUAGUC